rnacentral:rRNA from 1 species
GAACUUAAGCAUAUCAAUAAGCGGAGGAAAAGAAACCAACAGGGAUUGCCCUAGUAACGGCGAGUGAAGCGGCAACAGCUCAAAUUUGAAAUCUGGCGUCUUUGGCGUCCGAGUUGUAAUUUGCAGAGGGCGCUUUGGCAUUAGCAGCGGUCCAAGUUCCUUGGAACAGGACGUCACAGAGGGUGAGAAUCCCGUACGUGGUCGCUAGCCUUUACCGUGUAAAGCCCCUUCGACGAGUCGAGUUGUUUGGGAAUGCAGCUCUAAAUAGGAGGUAAAUUUCUUCUAAAGCUAAAUACUGGCCAGAGACCGAUAGCGCACAAGUAGAGUGAUCGAAAGAUGAAAAGCACUUUGGAAAGAGAGUUAAAAAGCACGUGAAAUUGUUGAAAGGGAAGCGCUUGCAGCCAGACUUGCCUGUAGUUGCUCAUCCAGGUUUUUACCCGGUGCACUCUUCUAUAGGCAGGCCAGCAUCAGUUUAGGCGGUUGGAUAAAGGUCUCUGUCAUGUACCUCUCUUCGGGGAGAACUUAUAGGGGAGACGACAUGCAACCAGCCUGGACUGAGGUCCGCGCAUCUGCUAGGAUGCUGGCGUAAUGGCUGUAAGCGGCCCGUCUUGAAACACGGACCAAGAAGUCUAACAUCUAUGCGAGUGUUUGGGUGUCAAGCCCGAACGCGUAAUGAAAGUGAACAGAGGUGGGAACCUUUCGGGGUGCACCAUCGACCGAUCCUGAUGUCUUCAGAUGGAUUUGAGUAAGAGCAUAGCUGUUAGGACCCGAAA